rnacentral:rRNA from 1 species
AUUGAACGCUGGCGGCAUGCCUUACACAUGCCAGUCGAACGGUAACAGGUUAAGCUGACGUGUGGCGAACGGGUGAGUAAUGUAUCGGAACGUGCCCAGUCGUGGGGGAUAACUGCUCGAAAGAGCAGCUAAUACCGCAUACGACCUGAGGGUGAAAGCGGGGGAUCGCAAGACCUCGCGCGAUUGGAGCGGCCGAUAUCAGAUUAGGUAGUUGGUGAGGUAAAGGCUCACCAAGCCGACGAUCUGUAGCUGGUCUGAGAGGACGACCAGCCACACUGGGACUGAGACACGGCCCAGACUCCUACGGGAGGCAGCAGUGGGGAAUUUUGGACAAUGGGCGCAAGCCUGAUCCAGCCAUGCCGCGUGCGGGAAGAAGGCCUUCGGGUUGUAAACCGCUUUUGUCAGGGAAGAAAAGGUUCUGGCUAAUACCUGGGACUCAUGACGGUACCUGAAGAAUAAGCACCGGCUAACUACGUG